rnacentral:rRNA from 1 species
UACGGGGGGAGCAAGCGUUGUUCGGAUUUACUGGGCGUAAAGGGCGCGUAGGCGGCCACCGCAAGUCGGUUGUGAAAUCUCUGGGCUUAACCCAGAAAGGUCAACCGAUACUGCGGGGCUAGAGUGCAGAAGGGGCAACUGGAAUUCUCGGUGUAGCGGUGAAAUGCGUAGAUAUCGAGAGGAACACCUGCGGCGAAGGCGGGUUGCUGGGCUGACACUGACGCUGAAGCGCGAAAGCUAGGGGAGCGAACAGG